rnacentral:rRNA from 1 species
CCUACGGGAGGCAGCAGUGAGGAAUAUUGGUCAAUGGACGAGAGUCUGAACCAGCCAAGUAGCGUGAAGGAUGACUGCCCUAUGGGUUGUAAACUUCUUUUAUAUGGGAAUAAAAUGUUCCACGUGUGGGAUUUUGUAUGUACCAUAUGAAUAAGGAUCGGCUAACUCCGUGCCAGCAGCCGCGGUAAUACGGAGGAUCCGAGCGUUAUCCGGAUUUAUUGGGUUUAAGGGGAGCGUAGGUGGAUUGUUAAGUCAGUUGUGAAAGUUUGCGGCUCAACCGUAAAAUUGCAGUUGAAACUGGCAGUCUUGAGUACAGUAGAGGUGGGCGGAAUUCGUGGUGUAGCGGUGAAAUGCUUAGAUAUCACGAAGAACUCUGAUUGCGAAGGCAGUUCACUGGACUGCAACUGACACUGAGGCUCGAAAGUGUGGGUAUCAAACAGGAUUAGAUACCCCGGUAGUC